rnacentral:lncRNA from 1 species
AAAGUCUACUUGAAAAAAAAAGAAGCCCGUCAAGAAGCAGAAGAACGAGAAUAUGCCAAAGAAGAAAACUCCUAAGAAGAAGGCUGCAGAUAAGAGAAAGUAUUUCCACUGCAAUAAUGACAACCAUUGGAAGAAGAACUGUCCUAUCUACCUAGAUAGCCCAAAGAACAAGAAAGACAAUACACCUUCAAAAGGCAUGUUGGACCUGCUAGGAAUUAAAACUAACCUUAUGAUUUCUACUUCCAGUUGGGUCUAGUUCUAGUGCUCAUUUGUG